rnacentral:rRNA from 1 species
AUGUAUAAUCCAAAACCAUAUUACCAAUUUUGGGGCAACUUUAUACUACUUGCGAAUAUAAAGAAUAUGAUUAACCAACAAAUAUUGGAUUGUAACAGAUGUGAAAAAAAUACUUCUAUGCUUCAACAAAUCAUAUGGUGUGAGUAUCGUCUGAAAGCUUUUAGGAUAAAUAAGGAUAGAGGGUUGUUUUGUUCAAGGAAACAGAAUGACUCUCCUUACACCAAGUCUAAGUUCAUCAUCAUUCAUCAUUGUUACAUGUAUAAAACAGGGAAAUACACAAUGAAUAAGAGGAAUAAGGAUAGAGAGCCGUUAACUUCAUCGCACUGUUCAUUUGCUUAUACUGAAGAAAUAAGAUAA